rnacentral:lncRNA from 1 species
GGACGCAAGCACCAGGCGCAGCCUCGCUCGCCGAGACCCGGCCAGGUAAGGCCGAACGUGUUACGAGUCAGUUUUUAGUGAAAAAACAUUGAGCUAGGAGCCAAGACCCAUCUCUUCACUAUUUUGGUAUUGUGCAAGUCAUCUUACCUCUCUGGAUCUCAGUUGUCUCAUCUGUAAAAAGGAGAUAAAAAUUAUUUACCUGCCUGAACGUAAAUGAGGUGGAGGACCAUCCUGCUACAGUAUUGCUUUCUCUUGAUUACAUGUUUACUUACUGCUCUUGAAGCUGUGCCUAUUGACAUAGACAAGACAAAAGUACAAAAUAUUCACCCUGUGGAAAGUGCGAAGAUAGAACCACCAGUAAGAUACUGGACUUUAUUAUGAUGAAUAUCUCAAGCAAGUGAUUGAUGUGCUGGAAACAGAUAAACACUUCAGAGAAAAGCUCCAGAAAGCAGACAUAGAGGAAAUAAAGAGUGGGAGGCUAAGCAAAGAACUGGAUUUAGUAAGUCACCAUGUGAGGACAAAACUUGAUGAACUGAAAAGGCAAGAAGUAGGAAGGUUAAGAAUGUUAAUUAAAGCUAAGUUGGAUUCCCUUCAAGAUAUAGGCAUGGACCACCAAGCUCUUCUAAAACAAUUUGAUCACCUAAACCACCUGAAUCCUGACAAGUUUGAAUCCACAGAUUUAGAUAUGCUAAUCAAAGCGGCAACAAGUGAUCUGGAACACUAUGACAAGACUCGUCAUGAAGAAUUUAAAAAAUAUGAAAUGAUGAAGGAACAUGAAAGGAGAGAAUAUUUAAAAACAUUGAAUGAAGAAAAGAGAAAAGAAGAAGAGUCUAAAUU